rnacentral:rRNA from 1 species
UGGGGAAUAUUUGACAAUGGGCGAAAGCCUGAUCCAGCCAUGCCGCGUGUGUGAAGAAGGUCUUCGGAUUGUAAAGCACUUUAAGUUGGGAGGAAGGGCAGUAAGCGAAUACCUUGCUGUUUUGACGUUACCGACAGAAUAAGCACCGGCUAACUCUGUGCCAGCAGCCGCGGUAAUACAGAGGGUGCAAGCGUUAAUCGGAAUUACUGGGCGUAAAGCGCGCGUAGGUGGUUCGUUAAGUUGAAUGUGAAAGCCCCGGGCUCAACCUGGGAACUGCAUCCAAAACUGGCGAGCUAGAGUAGGGCAGAGGGUGGUGGAAUUUCCUGUGUAGCGGUGAAAUGCGUAGAUAUAGGAAGGAACACCAGUGGCGAAGGCGACCACCUGGGCUCAUACUGACACUGAGGCGCGAAAGCGUGGGGAGCAAACAGG